rnacentral:lncRNA from 10 species
AUUCUCCUGCCUCAGCCUCCCGAGUAGCUGGGACUACAGGCGCCUAAUUUUCCAUAAAAUGUAUACCACCAAAAAGAAAAAUUCUGACUGCAGGGAAGCAGUACACUCUGUAGACCCCGGAGAAAAAUAAAUCACCAUGAGAUUUGACAACAAUCAAUUUUUCACUGCACGCUAAUCAAGCAGAUAGAAAGAAGGCCAUGCCUAGAUGCCAGUGUGAAGAAGAGACAGAGCAGAGACACGAACAACAUGUAAAUUCUCCUUGCUGCCACCAUGUGACGAAGGACACGUUUGCUUCCCCUUCCACCAUGAUUGCAAGUUUUCUGAGGCCUCCCCAGCCAUGCUGAACUGUGAGUCACUUAAACCUCUUUCCUUUAUAAAUUACCCAGUCUCGGAUGUGUCUUCAUUAGCAGCUUGAGAACAGAUUGAUACAAAAAAAAAGAACUAGAAACUGAUGUUAUUAAUAUGCAAUGUAAUGGAGUCUUAAAACCAAGUAGGCCAGCAUUUAUAGUACAUUUUUACACGUAUGUCUAGAAUAGUUACCUUAAACACACAUGCACACAGAUGGAUAACAUCUGUAUUUGCAA